rnacentral:misc_RNA from 1 species
GAUGAAGAACGUAGCGAAAUGCGAUACGUAGUGUGAAUUGCAGAAUCCAGUGAAUCAUCGAAUCUUUGAACGCACAUUGCGCCCCCUGGUAUUCCGGGGGGCAUGCCUGUCCGAGCGUCAUUACAACCCUCAAGCUCAGCUUGGUGUUGGGCCCCGCCGCCCCGGCGGGCCCUAAAGUCAGUGGCGGUGCCGUCCGGCUCCGAGCGUAGUAAUUCUUCUCGCUCUGGAGGUCCGGUCGUGUGCUUGCCAGCAACCCCCAAUUUUUUUCAGGUUGACCUCGGAUCAGGUAGGGAUACCCGCUGAACUUAAGCAUAUCAAUAAGCGGAGGA